rnacentral:rRNA from 1 species
GAUGAACGCUGGCGGCGUGCCUAAUACAUGCAAGUCGAGCGAACAGAUGAGGAGCUUGCUCCUCUGACGUUAGCGGCGGACGGGUGAGUAACACGUGGAUAACCUACCUAUAAGACUGGGAUAACUUCGGGAAACCGGAGCUAAUACCGGAUAAUAUAUUGAACCGCAUGGUUCAAUAGUGAAAGACGGUUUUGCUUUCACUUAUAGAUGGAUCCUCGCCGCAUUAGCUAGUUGGUAAGGUAACGGCUUACCAAGGCAACGAUGCGUAGCCGACCUGAGAGGGUGAUCGGCCACACUGGAACUGGGACACGUUCCAGACUCCUACGGGAGGCAGCAGUAGGGAAUCUUCCGCAAUGGGCGAAAGCCUGACGGAGCAACGCCGCGUGAGUGAUGAAGGUCUUCGGAUCGUAAAACUCUGUUAUUAGGGAAGAACAAAUGUGUAAGUAACUAUGCACGUCUUGACGGUACCUAAUCAGAAAGCCACGGCUAACUACGUG